UACGAAGGGGGCUAGCGUUGUUCGGAAUUACUGGGCGUAAAGCGCACGUAGGCGGAUAUUUAAGUCAGGGGUGAAAUCCCAGAGCUCAACUCUGGAACUGCCUUUGAUACUGGGUAUCUUGAGUAUGGAAGAGGUAAGUGGAAUUGCGAGUGUAGAGGUGAAAUUCGUAGAUAUUCGCAGGAACACCAGUGGCGAAGGCGGCUCACUGGUCCGAUACUGACGCUGAGGUGGCGAAAGCGUGGGGAGCAAACAGG
rnacentral:rRNA from 1 species